GCCAUUUUCCACAAAAAUUAACAAUUUGAAUUUUAGCAUUUAAACUCAACCUUAACUUCGGGUAAUGUUCUAGUAAGUUAGCCUAAUUUCAUGUUUCUUGGGAAGCGAAAUAAUCUUGAAACAUUUAAAAACGUUUGAAAGCAUAUUUGAUGUCCUUUGGGAGUUCGUAUUAUAAAAUUGGUCUUCGUUCGCCUUUCGAAU
rnacentral:lncRNA from 1 species